rnacentral:lncRNA from 1 species
CGGAGGCGAGUAUUAUGCUUUCUCUUUCUUUUAUUAUUCUCCUCAGCAGCAAGAAUUUAACUUGAAAGAGAAUAAAAACGAAAUAACAUAAGUAAUCUGCCUAGUAACAGGGCAGCCAAUCAUAUACAUUUAUCAACAUUAAGUGUCUUGAACAGUCUUCUAACUUCCUCUUUCUUGUCUGUGUCGACGAAGAGCCGUCGUAACUUUCCAUAACUUCCGGUAUUCCACCCAGUCCGUGUCCAGUACGUUACGCUGUGGAAACAAAGAGAAUGUACGAUAAAAUCCAAACUUUGGAACUGUAUGUUAUCCUUAUUCCUUAUGUUCCUUACAAUUGAUAUAACAAACUGAUAAAAACAAGUUAUGUGUGUACAUAAAAAGGAUGGUGUACAUGCCCUUGAAAUUCCUUGUUACUUACCUUUGCGAGAGUCUUAAGACUCUCCUUAUAGACUGUCUCACGCCCACCGGGUGGGUGGGUGGGGAUAAUACUCGCCUCCGUGUCAUUAAUAAAAUCAUGACUUUACGUCAUGUUACUAGUAAAAUCUUGGAAUUUUAUUAAUGACACGGAGGCUCAUAUUAUGCUAGUUCAAAGCCUGGCCACUACCUGAAGAGAGAUAUGUUCAAUUGGCCGAAAAUAGAAUUCUCUGAACGUCGAUACUUGUGACCAAUCAGCGGCCUUUAAUAUGUCCUCGAGGCGACAACCAAUCGUUGACGCCUUGGAUGCCAUCGCGCCUCUCACCGAAUGUGCGGAGAAUUUCGAAGUGUCAAUUCCUGUUAAUGCUAACAGGUUCUUGACCCAACGAACUAACGUGGGCGUGGACACUGGUAGAAAAGGGGUUCGAAAGGAUAUAAAUAAUUGACUUGAUGCAGGUGAGCGUAACUUCUGAGUACGAUCCAGGUAGGACCGAAGGCAUCUGACCGGACAAAGUGAGGGAUGUCCCAGGUAUCUCGGGUAAGAGAUAGAUUUUGUAUUGCCUUUAGUUCGUCUCGAUAUGGAGAAUGACACUCCCUCUGGGGUGAAUGAUAAUGCGUCCCAGUCCAAGGCUCGCACGUCCGAUAUCCUCUUGCAGGACAGUAAGCAUAACAGAGUCAGCAGUUUCCAAGACAGGUGUUUAAGGGAGAGUUCCUCAUUUGGCCUCCAUUCUUCCAAGAAGUGUAAGACAAUGUUGACAUCCCAGAAUGAAGAAUAGCGGGUCUGUGGAGGUUUCUCAAAGCGUAUCCCCUUCAGGAGUCUACAAACGAAAGGAUGCUGACCGAUCGGGGAGCCCUCCAGGUUUCGGUGUCCUGCCGAGAUCGCCGACCUGUACACGUUAAUGGUACUCUUCCUUCUUCGAAAAGGGACGUCAAAAACUCCAGUACUUCUUUCAGAGGUGCUGAAACCGGAUCCACUGACCGUUCCAUGCACCAGCUAGCCCACACUCGCCAAGCAGAGUUAUAGGCCGCUCUGGUCCCUGGAGCCCAGGAGUUAUCCAUGAGUCUUGUAACGUUCUGUGGAAUGUCUGUGAAUGUCCAGGGACUCCGGAAAUCAACCAGACCGUGAGUUGCAGCAAGCCCUGAUUGAUUAGGUUGUGCGGAUUCCCCUCUGGGUCCAAUAGCAAGUCUGGUUUUGAUGGUAUUACUCGUGGAGAGUCGAUUGCCAUUUCUAGUAGACGAGGAAACCACGGCUGAGCGUGCCAUAGUGGAACCACUAUCACUAGUGAACAGUCCUGUGUGCAUAGGUAUGAUAGUGUCCUGGAAAUGAGAUUGAAAGGGGGAAAUGCGUAAUGCCGAGACUUCGGCCACGUCUGCAGGAAAGCAUCCGUCCCCGAGGCUGUUGGAUCUGGUCACCAGCUGAAGUAUCGAGGCAGAUGACUGUUCAGUCUGGAUGCAAAAAGGUCUACGUCCAGUGGUCCCCACAAUUCAUCUAUUUGGCAAAAGGUAGAGCGGAGAAGACGCCAGUCUCCCGGAUCUCGCAGAUAUCUGGAAUUCCAGUCCGCUUGUACGUUGUCCAAGCACGGAAUGUGUUCCGCUGUCACCGCAAUCUCGUUCUGAAGGCAAAACUGCCAAAAUUAUUUCGCUAGGUUUGCUAGUCGUUUGGAUUUAGUGCCUCCUAGAUGAUUGAUAUAACGGACUGCCGAGAUGUUGUCCAUACGGAGCAGUAUACAACAUCUCCCUACUGUAGGGGAGAGACUGCGGAUGGCGAACGAUCCUGCCAGAAGUUCCAGGCAAUUUAUGUGCAUUGUGGAUUCCUCCAUGGACCAUCUGCCACCGGUGUAUAUGUUGCCACAACGCGCGCCCCAGCCAUGGAGGCUUGCAUCCGAUUCUAUAAUCAGGUCCAGGCUGGUUCCGAAUAUUGCUCGACCGUUCCACGCCUCCAUAUGGUCUAGCCACCACCUCAGCUCCUCCCGUGAUUCUACAUCCAGGACUAGUGCGGAUUCGUACGAACGGCCGGACCUGAGGUGAGAACCUUUUAGCCGCUGUAGGGCACGAUAGUGUAGAGGCCCUGGGAAGAUGGCUUGUAUCGAGGAAGCCAGUAGUCCUAAGACUCGAGCUAGUUGUCGAAUAGAGAGAGAUUGAGCUCGUAAUGUGCGCCUGAUCUCUUUUUUGAUGGCCUUCAAUUUCGUUUCCGGGAGGAGUAAGAAUUGUGAGAUUGCGUCGAUCUGGAAUCCCAGGAACUCUAUCUUUUGGGCUGGAUUGGUUAUGGAUUUUUCCCAAUUUAUCAAAAAACCCAGAAUCUCGAGUAACGUGAUGGUCCACUGUAGGUGGAGCAGUACUUGGUCUUGUGAGGAUGCCAUGAUUAAAAUAUCGUCCAGAUAUAUGAUCAGACGAACUCCUCGUGCUCUGAGAAAGGCUACCACAGGCUUCAUGAGUUUUGUGAAGCACCAGGGCACUGACGAGAGACCGAAGGGCAGACAUGUAAAUCUCCAACGUCGCCCUUGCCAUGUGAAAUGCAAGAGGUCCCAGUGUGCCUCCGCAAUAGGGACAGUGAGGUACGCGUCCUUGAGGUCCAAUUUGACCAUCCAAUCAACCUGUUGUAGUAAAUCCCUGAGGCAAUGAAUGCCCUCCAUUUUGAAGUGUUGGUAUGCGAGGAACGCAUUGAGUUCCUUUAAGUUUAUGACUGGCCGCAUACCUCCGCCUUUUUUGGCUACCAAAAAUAAGUUGCUGGUAAAACCUGGUGUAUCGUAUGGGAUCUCUUGGAUUGCCCGUUUGGCAUGGAGAUCUGUAAUCUCCUUUGUUAUGAGUUUGGUUUGGUCUGGGGCCAGUGUCAGUUCUCUUGGGGCAUGGAUUUGGAAUGGGGUAGAUAUAAGGUCGAGAUAGAAACCCCUGACAGUUUGUAACACCCAAGCGUCUUUUGUGAGCUCGUCCCAUGCAUGCGCAAACAGCGCGAGCCUGCCCCCUAUGUGUAGAUGUGGAGGAAUGAGAGAGAUUGCACUUACCGUAAGGUCGCCUGUAAGUAGAUUGCCUGCGGCUUCCCUGAGAAGGCCAUGGACGUCCCCUGGACGGAAAGAAGGGUGACGGCCGGAACUCCUGGUACGUGCGGGGCGCUCCAAAGGAGCCUCUAUGGACCCUGGAGGGGCCCCGAUAGACUCGGCCGGGUGGACGGCUCCUAGAUCUCCCGGCCCCGUGCAAAACCUUGGGGUUAAACACUCUCUUAAGGUUGGCUUGAGCCUUAUCUAAAGUGGUAAAAGUUUUGACAAAAGCCCCGAUGUCCUUGACAAAGGACUCUCCAAAUAACAUUACCUGGGCUGUGGGUCCAGGUUCUCUAUUUGCCAAGUUAAUCAACUUAGGUUCAAUCUUAAGUAAAAUUGAUUUACGGUGUUCCGCCGAGAUGGCUGUGUUGGCAUUACCCAACAAGCAGAUAAGCCGUUGGACCCAUCCGAUGGCUACAUCGAAAUCAAUGGUGGACUCUCCCGCUUUAGCGGAUUCAAGUAAUUCAUAUAAUUUUGUGGUUGGCCCCAGGGUGUCUAGUAUUUUGUCUUGACAGCUGUGGAGUGAAAACUCCAGCCCCUUCUUGGGCUUCCAGCCAGAUUUUGAGAGGAAUUGGGCGAUAUGUGGGUCCACCAUGGGGGUUUUGCAGGCCAUGUCUGGUACGGAGGGUCUGGGACACUCUGCUCAGAGUUUAUUCCUACUCUCGUUAGAGAGAGGGGUACGCAGACGGAGCGCCAAAUACUGCGCAAUGUGCGUUGGCGGGUCCCACUCCGCCGAGCGAGGGUGGCGGAGGUUGUCCGGGUCGAACAGGGGAUACCCUUGAGGGUCCCAAACACCAUCCUCCACACCCGUCGGUUCCACUACAGGACUAGACUCCUCAUCUGAGUCGGAAGCCAUAGCAUUGUAAAUAUAAUCCGGGUCGUCAGACCCCAUCUCCUCACUAUUGUCAGAAUCUGACUCUUCGUAUUGGGCACGUGCCCGUUUCCAAUUUCUGGCCGCUUGCGCCCGACCAGUGGCUCUUGUGCGUGGCAACACGCCAUCUAGGACCGCCAUAGGCGGGUCAGUCAUGGCAGGGGAGACCUGCAUCAGUGGGAGCGUUGAUGUAUGCUUAGUCUUGGCUUUUGCCUUGCGGGCAGCAGGGACUGGUAUAUCAGUUUGGGCCGUUAUAGUAGGUUGCACUUCAGGGGGCAACAUGAGUGCCUGGGCCAGAGAAUGGGAUAGGGAGGUGGACACCGAGCCCAUGGCUGAAGCCAAGGCUCGCUGGACCGAACCAGCCAUAGUUGAUUCCAGGAGAGACUGGAAUUCCUGAGAGGGUAAAUGACCCGGGUCUAGGCCAGGGGUGGGUAAGGUAUUCUCUAUAUUAGGGCAUCCAGGGCCCCCAUGUCCAUCCCCGUGAUUUUGCAUUUUAUUAUCCAAUUCACCAAUGGGAAUGACUGAAUAGGUGUGCAACCAAUGGGAAUGACUGAAUAGGUGUGCUAGGCAGGGAGCAACAGGUCUGGAUAAAUCACACAGGGUUUUCCUUUAUUUUUGUUUUAUUUUUUUAUUUUUUUCGAGUUACUCUCAGUAAUGUCUGUAACAAACAAAAUCCCUUUUUUAUUUUUUAUUUUUUUUAAUUGGGAGAGAUGCCUUUAAAUUAACCCAGAAACCAAACCCCCAGCACACAGUCAGUUACAGACUAAAGUGCAGAAAAAACUUGUACAGGGGAACAACACAAACAAAGAGAACAGCAAGGCUAUAAGAAGGGUAGUGAGAAAGGGUUGAUUAACCCUUAGAAGCAAAUAUGGGAAAUAUAAACCAUACAACCUUGCCCACGGAGGGCAGCAGGAGCAACUAGGAGCUGUUCAGCCUUCCCGCGCUUCAGAGAAGAGAAGCGCGCCGAAGGCGAACUUGCUCCACCCCCCCCCUCCAGUAAUGGCCGCGAGGAGAGAACUCCCCGUGGCCCCAGACUGCCGGGCGGAAGUAAACCCGGCAGGGGAGAGGAGUGAGACAGAGCUGCUCGGCACCCGCUGGGAUGUCUAAGCGGGUGCCGGCAAUUACACAGAAGGGAGGGAGGGCACUAGUGAGACCGCAGACGCGCGGGCGGUGCGGUCUCACAGCCUGUCAGACCCCUCUCAGCCCUGGCAGUUAGUGAAAGCCAGGGAGAGAGGGAAAAUGUCUGAACCUAAGCAGAGCUAAGCACUGUAAUACUGACCCCUGAAACAGGGACAACAUGGAAAUGAACAAACAUGAAACAUUUAAACCAACAACAUUUAAAGUGAUAUUAACAAAAAAAUUAUGUGUGUAAUGAAAAGUGAAGAGUAUAGAAAAAAGUCACUUAUCUGAUCUGAGGAGCAGCAAGAAAGAGGAAGUUAGAAGACUGUUCAAGACACUUAAUGUUGAUAAAUGUAUAUGAUUGGCUGCCCUGUUACUAGGCAGAUUACUUAUGUUAUUUCGUUUUUAUUCUCUUUCAAGUUAAAUUCUUGCUGCUGAGGAGAAUAAUAAAAGAAAGAGAAAGCAUAAUA